UGCCGCUCCACCUUUCUCUACAAACCCUAGAUCCUCCACCGCUCCUCCACCUUUCAUCCAUGGAAACCGGUCGUCGCCAUCACCGUCUUCUCCCCUUCUCCACUCCAACAGUCGCUUAGUGAAAUGUGAAUACAGUUGAAGAUGAAGACUGAUGAACAGGUGAAAGAGAGAACACUGCGGAUUGGUUCAAGAACCUUCAAAUUCAGCCUUAGUGGUUACAGAAAAGCAUAGUAACUGAUGUGGAAAAGCAUCUAUGGAGGUCAAACCUGGUCAAAUGGUAUAUGAACCUAUUCUUGAAGAAGGUGUUUUUAGCUUCCGACGAUAUCUCAGCAGAUUCGACACCAGAUCCGACACCAGAUCGAUUUCUAUGGCUUCUUUCCCGGUGGCUUCAAGAUCCGACACCAGAUCUACUGGUUUGACUAUAGGAUCUGCCGUUGAGUUGUUCGUGUUAGGGUGCACCGGAAUAACCAGAUGUGUAUCAUCUGGAAUGAACAAGCUGGAUAACCAGUCGAUCUCUACAAAAUUUCAGUAAGGUAUUGUUCGAGCCCUAGCUUUUUUAUUGAGUGAACUCUGUUUAUGAAGUUGUGAUUGACUGAUUUCAUGUUGUUUCAAUAUCGGAUGUGUUGUUGUAGCUGAUGAAAGGAUAACUAGAUGAAUAAUAACUGUUUUGUUUGGUUAAUUUGAUUGUUUUGAAUUGGAUGUGUUGCUAUAGUUGAUAAAAGAAGAAUUAAGUGAAUAGUAACUGUUUUGUUAGGGUUUACGUUGUUUACUUUUGUAGUUGUCAAUUUGUUUGCCAAUAUUAUCAUUAUGAGACCAUUUUCUCCAAGUAGCAUAAAUUAGUAUUAUAUAUGCAUGAAAUGUAAUUUGUUUCUUAGCUUAAGAUAAAAAUAGACUUAAGUUUUAUUUUACUUCCAUUCAGUUGCUUGAAGUAUUCUAAACAUUAAACCAAUAUUAAGUAUAUUUCUUUUCCUGUGAAUGUUUAAUAUUUUCCUAACUUGAUUUGGUGAAUGUAAUGUUUUUCAAUUUCUAUUCAGUUGUUGUAUACAUAUACUGACUUUGGCAUUGUUAUUUUUUACUUUAAACAAAAUGUUGAAAAUAGUUUUUUAACCAUUGAAGUAUCUCAUGAAUCUUUUCGAACCUGCAACUCUGUUUCUAAUUAAUUUUUCCGGGAUGUGCAUAACUUGAGAAAAUCGCGGGGUCCACCAAGGAGACGAUGAAACUACGCUCACUGACUCUAUAUCGCGAGGACUCCGAAGCAAACGGUGUGUCUAGCUGAUAUUUAACGGUGUCGUAAAGUGGGAUAGCACGAAAAUAAAAAAAGGUAUUCGUUGCAUCCAACAUUUGCACACGGAAGUACUCUGGUCUUAUACGAGGUCCUGACCGGAAAGCGUUACAUAUGUGACAUUAUUACUGAUUCUGUGGUUCUUGGUUUCUUCAUUGAAGCCGAAAAGAUACUCUCGGUGCUCGGAACUGAUGAUGCAGUUGAUGACUUUUUGUGGUAGGAAAAGCUUAAUCAUACUCUCGAAACUCUUGGUCCCGCAGUCCCGCAAAUCUUUGAGUAAAUGGCGAUGCAUGACCUACGGAAUCUUGUGGCAGAAAGAUCAGCUAUGAACACAUAUAUAAGCGGAGAGAGUUUUGAUUUGCCUCAGAUAUGAUCGGUCUGUUAUUAGAAGGAUUCAUUAAAACGCAGGGUACGUUAGAACUUAUUACUACACCAGCUGCACUAUUCCCAUCAUAUGGCUACCGCAGUUUCCGAGUGUCAGAAAUAGUAGCAGCCGGAAGCUUUUGUCACCAUGCAACCUCGUACGUAGUUGAGACAAGGUCAUGGGUGAUGAUGUUUGAGAUUAGUGGAUUUGAAGGAACAAGAACCCUUCAGAGGAGGGCGUCUUCGUUAAUAUCACAUGGCGGGGCGGGGGAUAACCUGUCCUCGGCCAGGGAACAUAGCGGUCUAGUGAGUUGGCAACAGGGCUCUUUUAAGAGAGAGUUUCUCUCAUCUCCAUACCGAUGUUCAAGGAAUUGAAACGAAGACGUUAUCAAUUAUGGUUUUUCAAUUUGUUUUUUGCAAGAAAUAUUAAAAAUGUUCUGAUUCCUUGAAUGCAGAGUUGCACUUAGGGUUUUUCAAUGCUUUUGUCUUGCAGAUUUAGAUUUCAUCUCAUCAGAUGUGGGUUCCUCUGAUGUUAUCCCAUUUUUUUGUGGGAGAAAGAGGGAGCUGGAGAGAAGAAUGGGCAGAGGAGUGAGAGAAUGGAAGAUGGGAGCCGGCCAAGAUGCCGAUGGUGGAUGGCAUUAGUGUCGGAAGAUGGAUGGGUCGGUAACCAUCGUAAACCCCGACAGCGGCGCUAGAGGUUCGCGAUAACCACAGACUUCCGGCGAACACAAUGGUGAACACAGAGACGCUGACUUUUUAGAACCUUCGGCGGCUGCAGGUAAGUCUCGCGGUGACUACACCAACUAAUGAAGGUACCGGAUCUUGUGGAUCUGGUGGUGACGGCGUCUCGGGUUCCGCAGUAGGCGGCAGAGACAGCUGCUAUGUGGUUGUACUGACCUUACUAGAAAAGAACCGUCAUGGUACUUGUGACGGUGGCAUAUGAACGGGGAUUCAGGGAAUUUGUUGGCAAAUUGCAGGGAAUUUGUUGGCAAAUUGCAGGGAAUUUGUUGGCAAAUUGCAGGGAAUUUGUUUGCAGUUUGCAAACUCAUAAAUCUUCCCUCUAAGCCUCUCUGUCCAGGUCAAGCUGGUGAUCAGUCCAUACGUUUAUAUUUUGAUUAGUGCAUAGAAGGGAUUGUGUUUUGUUUUUUUUUUUCAACUCUAUGCAUAUAUUCGAUACCAAAUUUGAUUGUUACAACUCAUUUCUUUUCUUUUUUAUAUAGACUUGGUAUAUAUAUAUAUUUUUUUAAUAUUUGUGCUUUUUUUAGUAACUUAUGUGCUUACAACACCAGGCAACUUCAGGUACUAAAGGUAGUUCAAGUCAUCGAUUGGCAAGGACGAGUAGUUGCCUUGAAUGUUGGCAGCAAGUCAUGUGUUUCAGCAUUUUUCUUACCUUUAGAGCGACUAAAUAUAAUAGAUAUGUUAUCCAUAUAUCCCGCUUAGCAUCGUCAAACUGUCUUUUGUCUUCUGUAAUGUAUUGAAGACGCAACAUGUCAAGUUUACUAAAAAUCAUUUUUGUUGACCUUACAUGUGGCUGUGCUUUGAAUUUCUUGCGGAAGGGAGAUCUUUUCAAGAUAAAUGGGAGGCUCCUACAAUCCUCCACGUCUAGCUGAGCCAGUGCCUGAACCGGCUAAAGCGGAGGGGUGCGCUUCUGAACCACCAACAGAAAACAGUCAGGUUAAAACAACAUAACUGAUUACCUGCUCACACCUGGAGGAUUUUCAUGCCUUUAUAUGGCUCAACCUUUAAAAAAAUCUCAUGAGGCGCCUUCUUUUCAUCCAUAAGUGGUUUGCCGGCCUGCGUUUCUUCCACGCAACAACACAUGCUUGACAUAAUUUUUUGUUUCUGUUUUUUCCUUUUUUUUUUCUUUUUUUCAUUGGGCUUAAAUUCUAUUUGGUGCUUGACAAAUUUAGUUUUAUACAUUGUUUAUAUAAUUUUGAGAUUCUAUUAAACUUGUAAUGGUUAUAGAAA